GUUGUAUUGCACUAUAAUAAGGGUUUGAUCAAACUGAAAUUUUAAAGCUUUUGUUUCAGGAUCAUGUUCAGCUCUAAAAAUUGCAUAUUGUUCACUGAACUACAAUUAAAGCAAAUAAAUUUCUGAAACUAUGAAUGUAGCAUAAAAGCAUAAUCACUUGCAAUAACAAAAGUUUUUACUUACAAUUACAUGGUAUUGUAACAAAAGUAACAUUAUCCAGUUUAGGAUCAAUAGAUCAUAAUUUCAUGUCUUCGUUAUUACAGUAUUUUGGUGUGUAUUUGCAGUAUGUAAAACUCUCAUCUUGUGGAGAAGUUUGAAAAGAUCUCAGUUUGCAGAUUUCUCACCUCAUUAAAGGACAACAUUGAGGAGGAUUUAGCAUCACAGAGGAAGAACAGAGUUUCUGUUCCUGUUAUACCUUAACAAGAACAAUUUUCCACCACAGGAAAGUGAUCUCUUUAAUGAACUUGGCCCAAUUUGCAAAGACCUCCCAAUAGAAGAACUAGCCAUGAAUUUUAGCAAGCUUUGAUUGUUACCAACUCUCUUUGAAACAAUUCCCAUAUUGGAUUCAUUCUCUUUUGCCAAUUCUCUACCUGAAAUUCGAUCAGAUUCUACUGCACGAACAUUAGCAAGAGCCUGACUGAUCUUGAAAGCAGAUAAAGAAUCUAAAGAAACAGAUCUUCUCAUUGGCUGUAUCCCUUCCUCCUCUUCAUUCAACUCUUCAACUCUGUUCCUUCUAUUCUCAUCCUGGAAUUCUUCUUCCUCUUCUGUUCCAACACUCAAUUCACCAUUUGUACUUUCAAUUUCUCUUUCAGAUUCUCCAUCAUUCUCUAAAACUGCGAUCUGGUUAUCUUCUCCAGCACUUGCACUCGCACUAUUACCCUCUGAUGAUGUUGCUCUCGGCGGGCUUGCAAUGAUAGGGGCACGACACAUAGGGCAAUUUGUAUGCGAUCUAAGCCAAGUAUCAAUACAAGGGAUAUGAAAAGCAUGGCUACACUUAGGUAAGAGUCUAAGAGUCUCAUCUUCUUGAAAUUCACCCAAGCAAACAGAGCAAUCAGUUCCUUCAACAAGCCCAUCACCUCUCUUAUACUUACAAACAGUAAUAGAAUUAAUCACCGAUGGCUGUAGCCCAACAGUGUUUAUAUACCAGAUGGGAUGGUCAACCACAGGGCCAUGAUCCUCAUCAAGAAACUCUUCAUGGAUCUCAUUUCUUUGCUCCUCAGAAUUCGAUCCUCUCCUUCUUGACCCAGAAUAGAAUUUGAAAUAUAUAGCAUAGCAGAAAACAAGAAAAAAAGCAGAGGCUAGUACAAUACCUGUAAUCAAGAACUUGUUGGGCUUUGUCUGGUGGGUUGUAGGGGUGAAAGGGAGUUUAUCUGGGCAAUUAUCAUAGCAAUAACCCCAACAUAUCUGAGUCUGACAAUCUACAUCAUCUGAUGAAUCACAGGCUUGUGAACAGGAGCCUGGGUCGGGUGAUGAGGUUAUAUUGUAAGAAUCAGAUAACAACUUUCUGAAUUGCAAACCCAUCAGGAAGGAAGUGAAGGGAUUGCAAUCUUGGAUGUGAAAAAUAAGAAAAGUAUUAGGGGUAAAAAGAGAGGAAAGCUUGGUCAGGUUCUGGUAGGCAGGUAGAGAGAGAGAGAGA
rnacentral:misc_RNA from 1 species